UACGGAGGGUGCAAGCGUUAAUCGGAGUUACUGGGCGUAAAGCGCACGCAGGCGGUCUGUCAAGUCGGAUGUGAAAUCCCCGGGCUCAACCUGGGAACUGCAUCCGAAACUGGCAGGCUAGAGUCUUGUAGAGGGGGGCAGAAUUCCAGGUGUAGCGGUGAAAUGCGUAGAGAUCUGGAGGAAUACCGGUGGCGAAGGCGGCCCCCUGGACAAAGACUGACGCUCAGGUGCGAAAGCGUGGGGAGCAAACAGGUUUAGAUACCCUGGUAGUCCACGCCGUAAACGAUGUCGACUUGGAGGUUGUGCCCUUGAGGCGUGGCUUCCGGAGCUAACGCGUUAAGUCGACCACCUGGGGAGUACGGCCGCAAGGUUAAA
rnacentral:rRNA from 1 species